AUUGAACGCUGGCGGCAGGCCUAACACAUGCAAGUCGAACGGUAACAGGAAACAGCUUGCUGUUUCGCUGACGAGUGGCGGACGGGUGAGUAAUGUCAAGGAAACUGUCUGAUGGAGGUGGAUAACUACUGGAAACGGUAGCUAAUACCGCAUAACGUCGCAAGACCAAAGAGGUUGACCUUCUGGCCUCUUGCCAUCUGAUGUGCCCAGAUGGGAUUAGCUAGUAGGUGGGGUAACUGCUCACCUAGUCGACGAUCCCUAGCUGGUCUGAGAGGAUGAGCGGCCACACUGGAACUGAGACACGGUCCAGACGCCUACGGGAGGCAGCAGUGGGGAAUAUUGCACAAUGGGCGCAAGCCUGAUGCAGCCAUGCCGCGUGUAUGAAGACGGCCUUCGGGUUGUAAAGUACUUUCAGCGGGGAUGAAGGGAGUAAAGUUAAUACCUUUGCUCAUUGACGUUACCCGCAGAAGAAGCACCGGCUAACUCCGUG
rnacentral:rRNA from 1 species